UUUCCUAUACUCUCAGGCAUCUGCUAAGAUAGCAAUGAAAUAUCCUCAACUGUCACAAAGUAAACAAAGAGAAAUGCAAGAGAUAUCAAGCCCAAAAUCAUCAAGAUCUAUAAAUGGACGAUCUAAAUCUAUCUAACUCUUCUUUUCACCUUCAGUUUUGUUGGCUUUUCAUUGCUAUCUUAGCAGAUGCCUGAGAGUAUAGGAAAGUCCCCAAUAUGGCAAUGGCUGAUCCAACUGCAUUCAAAGGCCUAACUGGAUUUCUAAACGCCAAGACAGUAGACAACUCUCUUCAUUGUGUUACCAACGGAAAAGGUUAAGGGGCUAAUGUCGUCAAGCGCCUGAUAAGAAGAUUGGUUAUAGAGAUGAUAAAAGAUACCAGAUAGCAUCACCCAUAUAUAAAAUGUUGAUGAUUUGCCAACAGCUUCAAUCGCCUUAUGGUAUCCUUGAAUCCAUUGAGACCCUUCAACAACAACCGCAACAGGAAACAAAUAAAAUAAUGAGAGUAUACUAAUCCAACCAUACAAGUUAAGUCCAUUAACUUCCUUGAAGCUCUGCAAACUCUUUUUUGAGUAAAUGUUCC
rnacentral:misc_RNA from 1 species